AGAGUUUGAUCAUGGCUCAGGACGAACGCUGGCGGCGUGCUUAAUACAUGCAAGUCGAGCGAGGUUACUGCGACAGAUCCCUUCGGGGUGAAGUUGCUUUAGCCUAGCGGCGGACGGGUGAGUAACGCGUGGGUAACCUACCCUAAAGUUCGGGAUAACAGCGGGAAACCGCUGCUAAUACCGGAUGCCUUUACCUUGGGGCAUCUUGAGGUAAAGAAAGGUAACGCUUUGGGAUGGGCCCGCGUCCCAUUAGCUAGUUGGUGAGGUAACGGCUCACCAAGGCGACGAUGGGUAGCCGGCCUGAGAGGGUGGACGGCCACACUGGGACUGAGACACGGCCCAGACUCCUACGGGAGGCAGCAGUAGGGAAUAUUGCGCAAUGGACGGAAGUCUGACGCAGCGACGCCGCGUGAGCGAUGAAGGUCUUCGGAUCGUAAAGCUCUGUCCUUGGGGAAGAAGGCGAAAGCUUGACGGUACCCAAGAAGAAAGCCCCGGCUAACUACGUGCCAGCAGCCGCGGUAAU
rnacentral:rRNA from 1 species